rnacentral:rRNA from 1 species
CAGUAGCCGCGGGAAAACGUAGGGUGCGAGCGUUAAUCGGAAUUACUGGGCGUAAAGCGUGCGCAGGCGGUUGUGUAAGACAGGUGUGAAAUCCCCGGGCUUAACCUGGGAACUGCGCUUGUGACUGCACAGCUAGAGUAUGGCAGAGGGGAGUGGAAUUCCACGUGAAGCAGUGAAAUGCGUAGAGAUGUGGAGGAACACCGAUGGCGAAGGCAGCCCCCUGGGCCAAUACUGACGCUCAUGCACAAAAGCGUGGGGAGCAAACAGGAUUAGAUACCCCCGUAGUCCCUGUCUCUUAUAC